ensembl:lncRNA
GAGUCAGGCUCUCCCAAGCCAUAUGCUUCAUCUCAGAGCCAAGGCUGUGUCAUCACUGCCAAAUGCUCCUUCAGGCCACUAAAUCACCACAGUAAGAUCAGAGCUUCAGGACCUAAGUAGUGCCUGGGGAUCUGAAAGAGACGACUGACUGAGGUGGUUGAUGGGAUUCUUACAGUGGAGUGUGGCACCUGAACUGUAGGUGUACCAGAUACUCCAGAUGGCGAAAAGGUACAGCUGAUGUGGGAGGUGUUUUUGAGCCAGCCCCUCUUCAGCCACAUAGACUAGCAACAAAGCACCAUCUUGGAAGCAGAGAGCCGCCCUCACCAGAACUGAAUGCAGGCACCAUGACCUUGAACUUCCCAGCCUCCGGACCUUAGUCCCUAGGGGGACUCUUGCUGAGGACACUUAGUGAUGAGACAUUGCUUGUUCAGGCUCAUACUCCCUUCUGGGAGAAACGCUAUACCAGGCUUCCAACUCCAUCUCAUCUCACACACGGAGGCUUCACCAUCCUGGCAACUUUACUGUGCUACCUUUGACCACAAAACAGAGGAACAGUGACAACGUGAGAUUCAAGACUCUGUGAGCUGGACAGCAGAUGGAGGCACACUGGGACGUAAUCCUGGCAGUUAAGAGACGUGUGAAUGGGCUGAUGGGGAAUGAUCUUUUUGUGAAGUUGUUGUUGGCAACACCUUGUGGCAGAAGAAACAGCUAAGUGAUGGUCCCCACAGCUGCCAUUCUCCAGUCUUGAAGUUGGUGGAUGACCUCCCUGUGACCGACCCCCUGUGGGCUAACAAUGUGGAAAACAGUAAUGGUCAAGAAACCCUCCCUGUCCUUUUGUGUUCCAGGCAGAGAGCCACCCAUCCCCAUGUGACUAAGAGAAGACUCAUGGAUGAGCUCCUUAAGAACCUAUGACAAAGCCAGACACAACCCCUCCUAGGGUCUGAAUGUUUGUGUCCUUCCAAAUUCGUAUGUUGAAAUCCUAAGCCCCGAGGUGAUGGUAUCAGGAAGUGGGUCCUUUGGGAGGUGGUUAGGUCAUAAGACUGGAGCUCUUAUGUAUGGAAUUAGAGAUCUGACAUUUUUAAAAGGCCCCCGAGAGUGGCUUUGCUCCUUAAGCCAUGUGAGGAUACAGCAAGAAGGUGCUGUCCAUGAGAAAGCUGGCCCUCACCAGACACCAAUCCUACAGAUGCCUUGAUCUUGGACUUCACAGCCUCCAGCACUAUGAGCAAUAAGUUUUUGUUGUUCUAAGCCACCUAGUCUAUGAUAUUAUCUUAUGGCAGCUUGAACAGACUAAGCCAACCCUCCAAAUUUUCAUUCUUUGGUUCUCACUGACUAAUCUGAACAAAUUGCUCAUCAACAUAACUUGUUAAAACUUAAUGAGGCUUCUCUCCUUCCCCCAGGCCAUUGAACUUUGUCUUGCCCCUGAGCUUAACCAAGCACUAAAACACAGAACAUCUCUCCUCAGUGAUCCUUCCCCGUUCAAAUUGUCUGUUCACACCACCUGCUCAUCCCACUCCCACACAGCCACUCCUCUCUAGGAUUCUCUAUGCCUCCGUAUAAAAAGAGAAACCCUUGGCCAGGCACAGUGGCUCACGCUUGUAAUCCCAACACUUUGGGAGGCCCAGGUGGGUGGAUCACCUGAGGUCAAGAGUUCGAGAGCAGCCUGGCCAACAAGGCGAAACCCUGUCUCUACUAAAAAUACAAAAAAAAAAAAAAA